GACGAACGCUGGCGGCGUGCUUAACACAUGCAAGUCGAACGGAAAGGCCCUGCUUUUGUGGGGUGCUCGAGUGGCGAACGGGUGAGCAACACGUGAGUAACCUGCCCUUGACUUUGGGAUAACUUCAGGAAACUGGGGCUAAUACCGGAUAGGAGCUCCUGCUGCAUGGUGGGGGUUGGAAAGUUUCGGCGGUUGGGGAUGGACUCGCGGCUUAUCAGCUUGUUGGUGGGGUAGUGGCUUACCAAGGCUUUGACGGGUAGCCGGCCUGAGAGGGUGACCGGCCACAUUGGGACUGAGAUACGGCCCAGACUCCUACGGGAGGCAGCAGUGGGGAAUAUUGCACAAUGGGCGGAAGCCUGAUGCAGCAACGCCGCGUGCGGGAUGACGGCCUUCGGGUUGUAAACCGCUUUCGCCUGUGACGAAGCGUGAGUGACGGUAAUGGGUAAAGAAGCACCGGCUAACUACGUGCCAGCAGCCGCGGUGAUACGUAGGGUGCGAGCGUUGUCCGGAUUUAUUGGGCGUAAAGGGCUCGUAGGUGGUUGAUCGCGUCGGAAGUGUAAUCUUGGGGCUUAACCCUGAGCGUGCUUUCGAUACGGGUUGACUUGAGGAAGGUAGGGGAGAAUGGAAUUCCUGGUGGAGCGGUGGAAUGCGCAGAUAUCAGGAGGAACACCAGUGGCGAAGGCGGUUCUCUGGGCCUUUCCUGACGCUGAGGAGCGAAAGCGUGGGGAGCGAACAGGCUUAGAUACCCUGGUAGUCCACGCUGUAAACGGUGGGUACUAGGUGUGGGGUCCAUUCCACGGGUUCCGUGCCGUAGCUAACGCUUUAAGUACCCCGCCUGGGGAGUACGGCCGCAAGGCUAAAACUCAAAGGAAUUGACGGGGCCCCGCACAAGCGGCGGAGCAUGCGGAUUAAUUCGAUGCAACGCGUAGAACCUUACCUGGGUUUGACAUGGAUCGGGAGUGCUCAGAGAUGGGUGUGCCUCUUUUGGGGUCGGUUCACAGGUGGUGCAUGCCUGUCGUCAGCUCGUGUCGUGAGAUGUUGGGUUAAGUCCCGCAACGAGCGCAACCCUUGUUCACUGUUGCCAGCACGUUAUGGUGGGGACUCAGUGGAGACCGCCGGGGUCAACUCGGAGGAAGGUGGGGAUGACGUCAAGUCCUCAUGCCCCUUAUGUCCAGGGCUUCACGCAUGCUACAAUGGCUGGUACAGAGAGUGGCGAGCCUGUGAGGGUGAGCGAAUCUCGGAAAGCCGGUCUCAGUUCGGAUUGGGGUCUGCAACUCGACCUCAUGAAGUCGGAGUCGCUAGUAAUCGCAGAUCAGCAACGCUGCGGUGAAUACGUUCCCGGGGCU
rnacentral:rRNA from 1 species